UUUAAAAAAAAUCAACUAAUUUUAACGUAUAAUUUGCACCAACACUUCUGUUUGAUAAAAAAAAAUUCCUAGUAGCCGGAGAUCGGAGAACGAUGAAUAGCUUCUUUUUUUUCUCCGGUGAUUGAGUUUCGCCCCAACUAAUAGCUGCAAAGAAGAGCCAUAUCUGCGAUCUGGAAGCAUUUUCUGAUUGAAAAUCCGUUAGGUUUCAGAAAUGGUUGAUAAGGGUUUCUCUCCUAAUGCACAUACAUUUCAGCUGCUGAUAAAUGUACCUUCAGCUGAAUGUUCUCUACUCGACAUGAUCCAGAGAUUAAGACCCAACGAUUGUAAGUGAUUUUGUUCUAAAUUUUGGCAAGGGAACAGGAUGCAGAAGCCACCUGGUUACUGGUUAGAGUUAUGCAGGUAGUAAGAUUAGGAUGUGGUUGAGAUUGUUUGAAGAUAAGCAUCAGCCAUCAUGUGUCCUAGGAGGACUUGGGAAGAAGCAGUAAGGUGUAAAUUGUCUUUAUGCAACUCCAAGCCCCUCGCAUCAACAGUUACUACAUUAGCAAGGUCAGGAUUUAACUGUGCUUCUCUUACUAUAUCUGUGUAAUUUGUUCCUGAAGCAAGAGCCACCUACACAAGUUUGAACAAAAGAAGCGUAGACAAGUAAGGAUUACUAAUAACUAUGCAACUGAUUCCUGACUGAACUCAUAUUGUGAUGGAGAACUUAUUGUGUUCUUAUAAUCAUGAGCUCAAAAUCUAAUAUUUGUUGAAAUUUUAGUGGAUUUUCACACACACAUAUAUGCUCCAUUUUGAAAAUAUACAGCAUUUAGAUGAUCCUGCAGUAAGAGUUACUCCUCCGUUUCAAUUUGUUUGUCUAACUUUCCUUUUUAGUCCGUUUCAGAAAGAAUCUUUUCCGUUUAUGGUACUUUUCAAUUCCCAAUGAUAUGUUAAGACCACAAGAUUAAGAAACAUUUGGUACAUUCUACAUAUAUUUAGUUUGAGACUGCAAGACUCAGAAGUCUUCAUUAUUUUUUUUCUUAAACUCUAUCAAAUCAAAACCAGAAAAACAAAUUAUUGAAAUGGAGGGAGUACCGAAUUAAAGUUUACCUGGAUAAUCAAAAGAUCUGGUAUCCCAACAUCACUUCUCAAGUCAGUGAAAAAUUGCUGCAUUUUUCCUUUAUAAGCAUUUGCAUUACUCAGUAAUGUUGUGUCACUCUCCCCUUGAUACCAAAGCAUAGCUCUAGUUACCCCACAUUCUUGCACUGCAACAGCCUUGGCUCUCAUCACCAACUGAUUGUAAAGGAAAGUCCCCUUUUGCCAUUGACUGAUUCUGUUCCCAGCCAUCGCGCAUGGUACCAACCCUAUUUCCCCCAGAAACGAAGUUUUAUUCAACAAAGAAUUUGCAAAGGGCAUACCUGCACAGACGAAUCUAGAAUUUAUAGUUUGCAUGUCCAGAGCGAGUCUAAUCUAUUUAAAUCCCCCUCUACAUACCUGGACCAAUCCCACAAGUAACAUUCGCGUCGAUAUCUGCAUGUAAAGGUUCAGUUGCCUCCACCCAUUGAAGUUUGGCAUCAAGUUUGAGGAUGGCCGGAUUUGGGCUGCACUCCGGCGGAACUAUACCAUCCCAUGUGUUAUUAACGACGCCUCCUAGGCCGGACAUGUUGCUCUGUCCAGCUAGUAAGAAAAUGUUCUUCACCUGUGAAUUUGCUAUAGCUGUAAAAUAAGAUAAAGCCAUGAUCAUAAGCAAUGCCAUGAAUUUUGCCAUUUGUUAUUUUCCACUCAA